UGGGGAAUAUUGGACAAUGGGCGAAAGCCUGAUCCAGCCAUGCCGCGUGUGUGAAGAAGGUCUUCGGAUUGUAAAGCACUUUAAGUUGGGAGGAAGGGCAUUAACCUAAUACGUUAGUGUUUUGACGUUACCGACAGAAUAAGCACCGGCUAACUCUGUGCCAGCAGCCGCGGUAAUACAGAGGGUGCAAGCGUUAAUCGGAAUUACUGGGCGUAAAGCGCGCGUAGGUGGUUCGUUAAGUUGGAUGUGAAAUCCCCGGGCUCAACCUGGGAACUGCAUUCAAAACUGUCGAGCUAGA
rnacentral:rRNA from 1 species